rnacentral:rRNA from 1 species
CCUACGGGAGGCAGCAGUGAGGAAUAUUGGUCAAUGGCCGUAAGGCUGAACCAGCCAAGUCGCGUGAAGGAAGAAGGAUCUAUGGUUUGUAAACUUCUUUUAUAGGGGAAUAAAGGUAGGCACGCGGGGAUAGUUGCAUGUACCCUAUGAAUAAGCAUCGGCUAACUCCGUGCCAGCAGCCGCGGUAAUACGGAGGAUGCGAGCGUUAUCCGGAUUUAGUGGGUUUCAAGGGUGCGUAGGUUGUUUUUUAAGUCAGCGGUGAAAGUUUGUGGCUCAACCAUAAAAUUGCCGUUGAAACGGGCAGUCUUGAGUGUGUUUGAGGUAGGCGGAAUGCGUGGUGUAGCGGUGCACUGCUUCGAUCUCACGCAGAACUCCGAUUGCGAAGGCAGCUUCCUACGCCAUAACUGCCACUGCGGCACG